rnacentral:lncRNA from 1 species
CCAACACUAGACAAUGGCGACACACACACGGCAUCAACACCUAAAUGGCAAAGAACAGCACAAGCAUGUGAUCCGGGCUGGCGCCUGGGAGAGGAUUUCUCACUACCAUCUCCAGAAAUCCCACCAGACCAACCCCCCAGCCCACCUUUGUGCCCCCCACCAUCUUAUAUCAAGGCCAUCCUCAAGAGUGGGAAAUCUCAGACGGUCCAGACUGCAUUCAUCAGACUGCACCGCACUACCCCUGCAUUUAUACUGGUGCCCGUAACGCCUCAACAUAAACGCCACAUACCCCCUCUCUCACCAGGUCAGUACGGCAUUACAAAUCUACCCACAUUCGACAACACAUACUUAUUGUUAUCCCUUCAUUGUGCAGUGAAUGGGGCAACAGCACCAGUCCAGCCCAGCUCCUCUCCAUCAGGAUCACUGUCGGACAUCCCUCCUGUCUGUCCAUCUCCUCGGCCCAUUGAAAUAAGUCCAAUCAAAGAGCCGCGUUCUUGCCAUACAGCGGACUUUCCACGUAAGUCACUGAUAAUGACAAUUUUGUGCUUGUCUUGUCUUUUGUCUAUUAAAAAUGUACAACCUAUUGACAUAUUAUCAACAUUGCUCUGGGGCAAUGGUAGAUUACCAGUUUCAGUACACUGACAACCUGCAGUGUCUUAGGUAGUAGAAUACAAUAUUAUUGCCCAACUUCUCUGUCUCUUCCUUUUCCAGAGUCGGUAAAGGAUUACAUUCAGGAAACUAAAGUGUACAUAAGCCACACCUGUGAUGACUUAGGAGAUGGACUGACCGUAACCUCAAACUAUGUGGAUACAAAAGUGCUCCAACUGGACAAUGUCCGAUCAGCAAAGAGGGUAAAUAAGAGUUUGGACAAAGAGCUGGAUGUGAUGGGAGAGACGGUCAGGAAGCAACACGUGGUCGCCCUGGACCAGGUAAGAAUUUACCCAGUAGUAACAUCAUGACAU